CCCACAGCCUUGGUUUGAGCACCAGUUUAAUUAGACAGACCCCCCUGGUAUGAUACCUUUUAACAAUGACGGUGGAUUUCAAAAAACUGAUUUUUCCUCAUUGCGGGAGGUUUCAUGGUCAUUGCAACUGAUGAGCACGGGGCGUGCCGACAACCAAAUUCUCCCUAUUUUGUAAUAAUUUACAUUGAAAUAUUUAGGGAUCUGGGGAAUGGAAAAAUGUUUCUCCAAGGUCUCCAGAUUUUCAACAUUAACGCUAUGCUGUAGUCCAGCCUCCAUGACAAAUAACAUAUCGUUACUGUGAAAUAGAUAUUUUAGUUGUCACUGAAAAUCAAACGUGAGCCACAAUGCCCAAAAUAACUAUCCAGUUGCCUCCUGUCUAUUUGUUUUCACAAAUGGAAGCAAGGUCUUUCGAACGAAACAGUUGACAUUUAAAGCGCUGUGUGUAGGUGAUCCAGUGAGAAGAGCACCUUAAUUGGCCUCAUUUACUAUUGAUUGAAUUUAAUUGGUCCAACCUGUUUUCAAGUCAAUGCUGUUGCGGCCACAACCUCAGAUUGAUGCACCACUUUACAACACGAUAGUUAUCUUAAUAAUUAUCUUUUUUUCAUCCUGUGUAUUUCUCAUGGCUAUCUUCUACUAUAGGCUGUAAGAAUAAAGUUUAUUUUGGCAUUAUCCUAGGGAGGCUCUCCAUCUUUGUAAUCUUGAACUGCUGGGUGCCAGAGCAUUUUCAUGAACUGAUUACACCCAGUCUGUUCAAUUUUACCGCCACGGAGGCUUCAAAGCACAGAGGGUUCGCUUAAAAUUCACAAACUGGACUCGCACUAAUCCUGUUACACCCUCUCACAUUGCAAACAUGAACAACAGCAUAUUUGAAAACUAUUGGGAACAUUGAAAAUGUGGAUUUUGGGUAGAAUGUUUUACUAAAGACGGUUUUAUUUAAGCAAUAAGGUACGAGAAGCUGUACUUUAUCGUCCAAUAAUGUAACAGUUCGCGGGUGUUGUUAGCGGAGGGCCGGCAACCCUCGAACUGUUACAUUAUUGAAGAUAAAGUACUGCCUCAGGUAACUUAUUGUUUUUAUAAUACGGUUACCAGCGAAUAUUAUAAAUAGUAAGUAAAUAGCUGCCUUUCAGCACAAAAUAGUAUCAGCCAUCGAACGUUGUGUAUCGCAUUUCAGUAGUCUAGAGAUAUAUUCGUGCAUGUAAACAACAUUGGGUCUCCUUGCAAGAUCUCGCACCAUCUCAUUCAUUCACAUCGCUCAUGACGUCCACCUGAAUUGUCCGGUUGCGAAAGCUCGCUUUGCCCGAAACUGAUCAUUUGUGGCUUUUUCUGUCUUUUUUCGGCGAUCGCCACCGAGCUAGAAGCUAUUUUAUUAUAAUAAAAGUUGGAAUAAAGCUACACUAAAGUAAUAAACUACAUUGUAUAACAAGUAUUGAUGUAUUUAUGUGUAAGAAUUGCUUCGAUGUGUCAGUUGGUAAAGUGAAUACUCAAAUAAAACCUCAGCACCUCAUAAUUGUACUUUACUUGAGUAAAUACAGUAACUCUCCAUCACUCAUGAGUAUUCAUGUUAGACGGCAAAAUGAGCUGUUUAAGAUGGAUUAAUACACUGGACUUCUAUCAUACAGGCCAUACAGAAAACGGCCACAGCUGGCUGUGAUGUGACGUAAUGAUAGCUUUAAUUUGGAAAAAAUAACUUUGUAUCAGUGGACGCUUGUCAGAUUAACUCAAAUCCCCUUUGAGAACGAAUGUGCUUGGAGAGAGUGCUGACUUUAAGAACUUUACCUUUACAACGGAAAAAGAGGUUUUUUAAGUGCUGUGGUGGCAGACUGUUGUUUCAAACCAAGAGAAUUUCUGAUCAAAAUAUUUAAUUUAUGUGUUGACUCAGUUAGAAAGUCACUGAGACCCCUCCCGGUAUGAGUUUACUGUACAGCGGCUCGCUGUAUGAGUGCACAUGUAUUUCCCGUUUUACUCCUCACAGCUCUGCACGCGGCAGAUGCUGAAUGAACUAAUGCACACACAGAGCUCAGCUCAGCUCGCCUCUGAGCUCAGAACAGUGUUAAAAUCAGAAGUGAAUGACAUUUAAAGGAUUACCAGACACCGAGAUCUAAAUGGUUGACUUGAUAACAGUCUGGAAGUGAAAUUCUCCCAGAUCUUCAUCUAGCUUUGCUUCUCAGAGCAUGAGAUUAGACAUUAAUACGAUCCUUGAUUGCGAACAUGAAAAUAAGUCACUCUGAUACUUAUCACCAGGAGACUGAAAGCAACAACAUAUGAAAACACUUUCUGUAUUAAUCAGUCUUAAACUGAUAAGUGUAAUAAUAGAAGGGAAGUUUUAGAUCACAUCUACAUGGAUGGUAGCUGUCUCGGGUAUUGUUCUUUUCUUCCAUCUCUUUUGAAUGUUUUUGUCUUUACAUAAAAGUCCAUCAAACAACUAAGUGGCCUGUUUAUUUGAUAAUACAAAUGCUUCAUCUUGCUCAGUAGCUUGGAGUCUAUGGGAGUGGGGAAAUAUAUAUAUUACGACUGAUUUUGUACUCAAAAGCCAAGCUUAGCACAAAGGCUGGGAACAAGUGGAAACAGGUAGCAUGGCAUAGUCCAAAGCUAACCACAUCCACCAAGCAGCACCUCUGAAGCUCACAGAUUGACACAUUGUAUUACAGCUGCCUGCAGCUAAAGAUUUACCCUACAGAUAUUCAGCUUUAUUCUGACUAUUCUUUUUUUCUUUGUUGCUAACUACUUAUUUGUGUAUGGAGCAACAUAAAAGCGCUAUAGAAAUGAAUAGUGAAACUAUCACCUCAGAAUUGCCAGAAUAGAUGAACAAUGUAUGGUAACAGCUCAGAUUAAGGUUGAUCAAAUUAUGUAAAUGUAGUUCUAAAAAAAGAUUUCAAUAAUAAAUUGUUUCCAAAAACUUAAUUUCACAAAUUCACAAAAUUAUUUCUGAUUGCAUAUUUAGUAGAUCUGACUUUGAACAUAGAAUUAUUAUGUUUUAUGUGCAAAUCAAGUACAAAUUUGUCAGGGUUGAGGGUGGAAGGCAGGACUCAAACGCAGACUUGCGGCAAACAAAAGACUUUAAUAGUCACAAGGAUCAAAAAACACCGGAACUGGGGGCAAACGCACACAGGCAAGAGACUACGACGAUCCAAGACGAAAGACAAUGACGCGACAAGUGACACAGGAGACACACUGCUUAAAUACACAAGGGAGGUGCAGGUGAUUGGACACAGGUGGAAACUAUUAGACGAACACAGGGGAUGACGAGACAAGGCAGGAAGUGAAGUUACCCGGGGACACGAGUGGCAGAAAACUACAAAAUAAGACAGGAAGUGAACCACACCGUGACAGUACCCCCCCCCUCAAGGGCCGACUUCCAGGCGGCUCACACUAGAGCAAAACAAGGGGUGGGGGGGAGGGAAACCCGAGACGUUGGUCGGACCACCCGGGAAACUCUGGCGGGCGGCCCGACGAGCGGGGAGCCUCUGGGGGUCGGCCCGGCGGGCGGUCCUUUCGCCGGCUCCGGAGCGGUGACCACAGGGCACGGAACGUCUCAGGAAUGGCAGGCUCUGAGAAACGGGAAACCUCCGGGGUAGUCGGCGGCGCCGGCUCGGGGACACGGGAAACCUCCGGGGUAGUCGGCGGCGCCGGCUCGGGGACACGGGAAACCUCCGGGGUAGUCGGCGGCGCCGGCUCGGGGACACGGGAAACCUCCGGGGUAGUCGGCGGCGCCGGCUCGGGGACACGGGAAACCUCCGGGGUAGUCGGCGGCGCCGGCUCGGGGACACGGAACACCUCCGCAGUCUGCUCCGGCUCGGGGACACGGAACACCUCCGCAGUCUGCUCCGGCUCGGGGACACGGAACACCUCCGCAGUCUGCUCCGGCUCGGGGACACGGAACACCUCCGCAGUCUGCUCCGGCUCGGGGACACGGAACACCUCCGCAGUCUGCUCCGGCUCGGGGACACGGAACACCU
ensembl:lncRNA